GUGCCUGCAGCCGCGGUAAUACCGGCAGCCCGAGUGAUGGCCGAUCUUAUUGGGCCUAAAGCGUCCGUAGCUGGCCGCGCAAGUCCAUCGGGAAAUCCACCUGCUCAACAGGUGGGCGCCCGGUGGAAACUGUGCGGCUUGGGACCGGAAGGCGCGACGGGUACGUCCGGGGUAGGAGUGAAAUCCCGUAAUCCUGGACGGACCACCGAUGGCGAAAGCACUUCGAGAAAACGGAUCCGACAAUGAGGGACGAAAGCCAGGGUCUCCAACCGGAUUAGAAACCCCAGUAGUCC
rnacentral:rRNA from 1 species